CACCCGGAACCAUUUCUGUUCCAGCUCUUCUGUUUUUUGGCAAGUGCAUGAAACAUUCAGAAAAUACCGCUUUUCUGUCCCAUUGAAUAUGCCUGCCCCCUUGAUGAAGUGUGGUUGAAAGAUUGAAAGUAGAACAAGACGUUUGGAUACACUGGAGACACAGGACGGCAUCAGAGAUCUCAAACUAUGAGUCACAGCAAAAUCAGCUUUGAAGUGUGGCUACCAGUAGACCAUCCUUCCAAGUCUGCCCUUCUGCAAGAAGAAGGCCUGUGGAUGUCUCAAUAACUGCUCUCUGGAGACUUGAACGAUGACUUUAGACGGAUUACUCAUGCCAGGUAGUGUGCACUGCAAUUAUUCAAGCAAGGCCGGCCACAGAAUCAUCAAAGCAUGAAGCUCCUAUGACAGCUCAGCCCCGGAGGGUUAGAUGCAAAUGUCAGAGUGGGGCUAUUGUUCUGGAGUCUGAGAACUGGAGAUGAAAGGAGCCUCAAACACUGCAAGAGUAAACAGUGAGGGACAGGGGGAGACCUUCUAGCUAGACCAAGCACCACCUCUCAGAGCCUCCUUUGAAGUUCUGGUAGAGAGUGCAUGCUGUGGAUCAGCUGAGUCGAUGGAGCCUGGACACCGACCCAAACAUGUAGACAUUUCACUCUUAGAUCUGGCAAAGAGACUGAGGACCGAGUGUGACUACUCAGCCUCAUUUUACAAACUGCAGAAUACCUAAACUCAGGCUCUUGCCUAGGAACAUCUGAAAACUAAAUUAUGCUUUAAUGCCAAGUGACAAAUGUAAACUGUUUAUUUUUUUCAGGACAGUGAAAAAGAAAGUAUGUCAUUUACAGCAUAAGUUCUUGGAUUAGUGACUUAGAAUUAACUAGGAGGACUGAAAAGCAUUUAAGUAACCCCCCCCCCCCCCGAGACUACAGCUGGAUGACCUGUGAAGUCCCUCUCCAACUUGGUUCCCUUUUCCACUCAUCUUUCAUUUUUGAAUUGGUGACCGAUAUCUGUAACAGAACAUGAACGUCCCAACAAAAACAUUUUAAUUAAAUUUCUUUCGCGUUCAAACC
rnacentral:lncRNA from 1 species